CUGAGAGGCGGGGAGAGAAGAGCUGCUCUGCAGUUUGCAGGCUGCUCCGAUCCUAGGCCUCACUCGGUACCACUAAGUCCAGGAGGAUGCCAGCACGGCUAACAGGUCUUUCAAUGGCAACAGUUUGAGCAAAAUUCAGGAGGGCUCACUUUCACUUACGCAUUGAGACCUAAGCGGCAAUCCAGAGACCUAAGCUCACUCCUGGGGCAUUCGGGGCCCGGCAUGGAAUGCAGUUUUUGCUCAAGAUGGUUCUCAACCAUCAUCCACUGAAAGUCAUUGAUGAUGCCAGUUUUUACAGGUUUCCCUCACUGAAGCUUCUAAACCUUAGUUCUACAGAAAUGACCGCAAAGAUAUUGGAGGCCCUGCUCCAGACCUCUCUGCAAUUGAAGACUCUCAUCUUGCCUAACAAGAUGUUCUGCUGUCUUUGCCGUAUGAAGGAUGACAUUGAAGUUUUGUCUGAUACGAUAAAGUUGCACUGCACCGACACAUGUACCACAAACGAAACUCUCUGCGGUAGGCCUGCGGUAGUUUAUGAAAUUCUGUAUUGUUUUGAAUAUUAAAGAGCAUUUUACAAUUUU